GAUGAACGCUGGCGGCGUGCCUAAUACAUGCAAGUCGAGCGAACGGACGAGAAGCUUGCUUCUCUGAUGUUAGCGGCGGACGGGUGAGUAACACGUGGAUAACCUACCUAUAAGACUGGGAUAACUUCGUGAAACCGGAGCUAAUACCGGAUAAUCUUUUGAACCGCAUGGUUCAAAAGUGAAAGACGGUCUUGCUGUCACUUAUAGAUGGAUCCGCGCUGCAUUAGCUAGUUGGUAAGGUAACGGCUUACCAAGGCAACGAUGCAUAGCCGACCUGAGAGGGUGAUCGGCCACACUGGAACUGAGACACGGUCCAGACUCCUACGGGAGGCAGCAGUAGGGAAUCUUCCGCAAUGGGCGAAAGCCUGACGGAGCAACGCCGCGUGAGGGAUGAAGGUCUUCGGAUCGUAAAACUCUGUUAUUAGGGAAGAACAUAUGUGUAAGUAACUGUGCACAUCUUGACGGUACCGAAGCAGAAAGCCACGGCUAACUACGU
rnacentral:rRNA from 1 species